UACGUAGGUGACAAGCGUUGUCCGGAUUUACUGGGCGUAAAGAGCGCGCAAGCGGUCGAUCAAGUCGAGUGUGAAAGCCCCCGGCUCAACUGGGGAGGGUCACUCGAUACUGAUCGACUUGAAGGCAGGAGAGGGAAGCGGAAUUCCCGGUGUAGUGGUGAAAUGCGUAGAUAUCGGGAGGAACACCAGUGGCGAAGGCGGCUUUCUGGCCUGUUCUUGACGCUGAGGCGCGAAAGCUAGGGUAGCAAACGGG
rnacentral:rRNA from 1 species